rnacentral:rRNA from 1 species
ACGAACGCUGGCGGCGUGCUUAACACAUGCCAGUCGAACGGAAAGGCCCUGCUUUUGUGGGGUGCUCGAGUGGCGAACGGGUGAGUAACACGUGAGUAACCUGCCCUUGACUUUGGGAUAACUUCAGGAAACUGGGGCUAAUACCGGAUAGGAGCUCCCGCUGCAUGGUGGGGGUUGGAAAGUUUCGGCGGUUGGGGAUGGACUCGCGGCUUAUCAGCUUGUUGGUGGGGUAGUGGCUUACCAAGGCUUUGACGGGUAGCCGGCCUGAGAGGGUGACCGGCCACAUUGGGACUGAGAUACGGCCCAGACUCCUACGGGAGGCAGCAGUGGGGAAUAUUGCACAAUGGGCGGAAGCCUGAUGCAGCAACGCCGCGUGCGGGAUGACGGCCUUCGGGUUGUAAACCGCUUUCGCCUGUGACGAAGCGUGAGUGACGGUAAUGGGUAAAGAAGCACCGGCUAACUACGUG